rnacentral:rRNA from 1 species
UACAGAGGUCUCAAGCGUUGUUCGGAAUUACUGGGCGUAAAGGGCGCGUAGGUGGCGCUGCAAGUCGGUGGUGAAAGCUCGCCGCUUAACGGCGAGUCGGCCAUCGAAACUGCAGGGCUGGAGCACUGUAGGGGCAGAUGGAAUUCCGGGUGUAGCGGUGAAAUGCGCAGAUAUCAGGAGGAACACCAAUGGCGAAGGCAGCUCGCUGGAACGGUACUGACGCUGAGGCGCGAAAGCGUGGGGAGCGAACAGG